UGAUGUUUACUUACCCUCCUUUUUUAUAAUGUCAAAGGGGGAGAAAUAUAUUGUUAGGGGGAGUAGAGUAUACUCUCUUUAUCUGUGAGAGGGAUUUUAAUAAUUCUAAUUCAUUCUAUCCUUUUCUAUUUUUUCUACCUCCAUGAGAUAUGUGUUGUCAUCAUAAAAAAAUGGUAGAAUGCAAAUCUAUGUGUUGUUUCAGGUAUAACCAUUAAUUAGUUUUGAUGAUGGAAACUAAUGGAAAUUUU
rnacentral:lncRNA from 1 species